GCCCGGGUAGCUCAGUCGGCAGAGCACCUGUCUUGUAAACAGGAUGUCGAGGGUUCGAUUCCCUCCUCGGGCUC
rnacentral:tRNA from 2 species